GCUGGCGGCGUGGAUAAGACAUGCAAGUCGGACGAGAUUUCGUCCUGUAGCAAUACAGGACGAAGUCUAGUGGCGAACGGGUGCUUAACACGUGGGCAAUCUGUCUUAAAGUGGGGGAUAGCUCGGCGAAAGCCGAAUUAAUACCGCAUGUGAUUAGAGUGGACAUCCAUUCAAAAUCAAAGGUGGCGCAAGCUACCGCUUUUUGAGGAGCCCGCGGCCUAUCAGCUAGUUGGUGAGGUAACGGCUCACCAAGGCUUUGACGGGUAGCUGGUCUGAGAGGACGACCAGCCACACUGGGACUGAGACACGGCCCAGACACCUACGGGUGGCAGCAGUCGAGAAUUUUUCUCAAUGGGGGAAACCCUGAAGGAGCGACGCCGCGUGGAGGAUGAAGGUCUUCGGAUUGUAAACUCCUGUCAUUGGGGAACAAGUCGCUUACGUUAACUGCGUGAGCGUUGAUAGUACCCGAAGAGGAAGAGACGGCUAACUCUGUGCCAGCAGCCGCGGUAAUACAGAGGUCUCAAGCGUUGUUCGGAUUCAUUGGGCGUAAAGGGUGCGUA
rnacentral:rRNA from 1 species